rnacentral:rRNA from 1 species
UACGUAGGGGGCAAGCGUUGUCCGGAAUCAUUGGGCGUAAAGCUCGUGUAGGCGGCUCGUUAAGUCCGCUCUGAAAGUCCGGGGCUCAACCCCGGGAGGCGGGUGGAUACUGUCGAGCUCGAGUCCGGAAGAGGCGAGUGGAAUUCCUGGUGUAGCGGUGAAAUGCGCAGAUAUCAGGAGGAACACCGAUGGCGAAGGCAGCUCGCUGGGACGUGACUGACGCUGAGACGCGAAAGCGUGGGGAGCAAACAGG